AGAGUUUGAUCCUGGCUCAGGAUGAACGCUGGCGGCGUGCCUAAUACAUGCAAGUAGAACGCUGAAGCUUGGUGCUUGCACCGAGCGGAUGAGUUGCGAACGGGUGAGUAACGCGUAGGUAACCUGCCUCUUAGCGGGGGAUAACUAUUGGAAACGAUAGCUAAUACCGCAUAACAGUCGAUAUCGCAUGAUAUUGAUUUGAAAGGUGCAAUUGCAUCACUAAGAGAUGGACCUGCGUUGUAUUAGCUAGUUGGUGAGGUAACGGCUCACCAAGGCGACGAUACAUAGCCGACCUGAGAGGGUGAUCGGCCACACUGGGACUGAGACACGGCCCAGACUCCUACGGGAGGCAGCAGUAGGGAAUCUUCGGCAAUGGGGGCAACCCUGACCGAGCAACGCCGCGUGAGUGAAGAAGGUUUUCGGAUCGUAAAGCUCUGUUGUAAGUCAAGAACGAGUGUGAGAGUGGAAAGUUCACACUGUGACGGUAGCUUACCAGAAAGGGACGGCUAACUACGUGCCAGCAGCCGCGGUAAUACGUAGGUCCCGAGCGUUGUCCGGAUUUAUUGGGCGUAAAGCGAGCGCAGGCGGUUUGAUAAGUCUGAAGUUAAAGGCUGUGGCUCAACCAUAGUUCGCUUUGGAAACUGUCAAACUUGAGUGCAGAAGGGGAGAGUGGAAUUCCAUGUGUAGCGGUGAAAUGCGUAGAUAUAUGGAGGAACACCGGUGGCGAAAGCGGCUCUCUGGUCUGUAACUGACGCUGAGGCUCGAAAGCGUGGGGAGCGAACAGGAUUAGAUACCCUGGUAGUCCACGCCGUAAACGAUGAGUGCUAGGUGUUGGAUCCUUUCCGGGAUUCAGUGCCGCAGCUAACGCAUUAAGCACUCCGCCUGGGGAGUACGACCGCAAGGUUGAAACUCAAAGGAAUUGACGGGGGCCCG
rnacentral:rRNA from 1 species